rnacentral:misc_RNA from 1 species
ACCGAUGUGCAUGACUAUGACGUGAAAAUGCGCAACGUCAUGCGGUUUCUGGAAGGCGGCGACAAGGUGAAGGUGACCCUGCGGUUCCGCGGCCGUGAGAUGGCGCACCAGCAACUGGGGCUGGAACUGCUCAACCGCGUUGCCGAUGAUGUCGGCGAACAGGGCAAGGUCGAAAACAUGCCCCGCAUGGAAGGCCGCCAGAUGGUCAUGAUGAUCGGGCCGCGAUAAGCGCGUGGCACCAAGGGUGCCGCGGUGGGUUUGCCACUGCGAGCGUCGAGUUUGAUUGAUACCGAUCGGAAAAUUUAAAGUGGCUCAGGCGAAAGCCUGGGCCAU